ACAAAGACAGCACAUGACUUUUAUAUACACUUCAGAAAGGGGGUGGGCUAGCUUGAAGCAGGCUUACAGUUACAGUGGUGUGGAAGCAAGGAUACAGAGGCAAAACAAUUAGUCAAAUUGUGACAGGUUCAUAACUCAGGAUUACACAUGACUGUUGCUAUGCAACCCAGAUGUCUGUUAUCUAGGUUUUUCUCUUGUGCCUAGCACGGCUUAUUCCAUGACCUUCACUGUGGUGUCCAGGUGGCUGGAUCUCAGGCCUGCCCAGAUAGUUUAUGAUCUUCACUCCACUGCUUAGAUAAAACAGAAUGCUUGAAGUUACUAGUUACAGAGAACAGGAAUCUAUAAACUCAUACCAUAAGAGACAGGAAAAUUUGUUUUUUUUCUCCCUAUGUUGAGGGAGUGCUGGGAGAGUCUUCAGAGCACAUUCCUUUUUGUCCUAGCUUCUUAAGACAGUGUUUAUCAGACUUUUCAUGGGUGUGGGCCUUGGAGCACAUUCCUUUUUGUCCUAGCUUCUUAGACAGUGUUUAUCAAGACUUUUCAUGGGUGUGGGCCUUGCCUGCUACUGCCUUUGGGAUGAGUCAGCCUAAUCCAGGAAAGCCUACUUCUUUCUCUCUUUAAUUUUAUUUUUAUUUAUUUAUUUAAUUUCCCACCUCACUCUGGCUUCCUGGACCCUUCCCUUCCUUGGUGCUCAGUGUCAGCCCCUCCCUGGCCUAACCUGAGACCCCACCCCCAGGCAUUCCUGCCUGGAUGUGCUCAGGGCCUCACUCUGGCUGGCGACUGUGACAGGUGUGUGUGUCUCUCUGGGUGUGAGCACACUGGAGCAAGUGUUAUGUCCACAGUGUUUCAUGUCUGCCCUGUAAUGCUGGAGCCUGGGAUGGUGCCAGCACCCCAUGGCUCCUGGUCAGAUCUUGGGCAUCAAGUCUGAGUCUGACCCCAGGGGUUGAGACACAAUGGCCAAAGGGAUGGUGCAAAAAGGUGGGGCCACCAAGAGCUGGUGAGGCCAUGAGGGCUGCUCCUCCUGAGGGAAUCAAGGCUCUCGUGAAGGCGGCUCACACAGCGCCUGUUCCGCGCCUGUCCCUCACCUUCCACCCCAGAGGUCGCAGCACAAGGUGCCAUCCUGGGAGCAGAGAGCAGCCCUCGCAGACACCAAACCUGCUGGCGCCUGCACCCUGGACUUCUCAGCCUCUGGAAUGGGGAGGAAAUAAAUGUUUGCUCUUUAUCACUUGUGCAGCGUUGGUAUUUUGUUAGCUGCAUAUGCAGAUGAGGAUGUGGUCUUUGCUGGAUCUGGAGAUGUCAGGGAACUGAGCUUGGCCUGUGACGGGCAUUUGGGCUCUUCCUGCAGGAUUCAGUGUGGUGCAUCUCUGUGUCUCUGUGUGUGUCUGGCUGUGUCUGUGUCUGUGUGUGUGCACUACUGUGUGUGUUUGUAUGUGUGUCAGUGUGUGUGUAUCUGCAUGUCUGUGUAUGUGUGUCUGUGUGUGUUCUGUGCAUGUGUGUAUGUUUGUGUAUCUCUGUGUCUGUAUAUUUGUAUCUGUGUAUGUGUGUGUGUUUGUGUGUGUGUGUAUCUCUGUGUGUCUGUUUGUAUCUGUAUAUUUGUGUGUGUCUGAGUAUGUGUGUGUGUAUGUAUGUGUGUGUUCUGUAUGUUUGUGUGAGUAUCUCUGUGUGUCUCUCUGUGUGUGUCUGUAUAUUUGUGUGUGUUCUGUAUGUUUGUGUGAGUAUCUCUGUGUGUCUCUCUGUGUGUGUCUGUAUAUUUGUGUGUGUCUAUGUAUGUGUGUGUUCUCUGUCUCUCUGUGUGUAUCUGUAUAUUUGUGUGUGUCUAUGUAUGUAUGUGUUCUGUGUGUGUGUAUGUUUGUGUAUCUCUGUGUGUCUCUCUAUGUGUCUGUAUAUUUGUGUGUAUCUGUGUAUGGAUGUGUGUUGUGUGUGUGUAUGUCCGUGUAUCUCUGUGUGUCUCUCUGUGUCUGUCUGUGUAUGUGUGUGUGCUGCGUGUGUAUGUGUAUCUCUGUGUGUCUGUGUGUGUCUGUAUAUUUGUGUGUGCCUGUGUAUGUGUGUGUAUCUCUGUGUGUCUCUCUGUGUGUAUUUGUAUAUUUCUGUGUGUCUGAGUAUAUAUUUGUGUGUUCUGUGUGUGUAUGUGUGAGUAUCUCUGUGUGUCUCUCUGUGUGUAUUUGUAUAUUUCUGUGUGUCUGAGUAUAUAUUUGUGUGUUCUGUGUGUGUAUGUGUGAGUAUCUCUGUGUGUCUCUGUAUAUUUGUGUGUCUGUGUAUGUAUGUGUGUGUUCUGUGUGUGUAUAUGUUUGUGUGUGCAUCUCUGUGUGUCUCUGUGUGUGUGUCUGUAUAUUUGUGUGUGUCUGUGUAUGUGUGUGUUCUGUGUGUAUGUGUAUCUCUGUCUCUGUGUGUGUGUCUGUAUAUUUGUGUGUCUGUGUAUGUGUGUGUUCUCUGUGUGUGUAUGUUUGUGUAUCUCUGUGUGUGUCUGUAUAUUUGUGUGUGUGUAUGUGUAUCUCUGUCUCUGUGUGUGUGUCUGUAUAUUUGUGUGUGUCUGUGUAUGUGUGUGUUCUGUGUGUAUGUUUGUGUAUCUCUAUCUCUGUGUGUGUCUGUAUAUUUGUGUGUGUCUGAGUAUGUCUUUGUUCUCUGUGUGUGUGUAUGUAUCUCUCUGUGUGUCUCUAUGUGUCUGUAUAUUUGUGUGUGUCUGUGUAUGUGUGUGUGUAUGUUUAUCUCUGUCUGUGUGUGUCUGUAUAUUUGUGUGUGUCUGUGUAUGUGUGUGUGUUGUGUGUGUAUGUGUAUCUGUGUCUCUCUGUGUCUGUAUAUUUGUGUGUGUCUGUAUACGUGUGUGUUCUGUGUGUGUGUAUGUUUAUCUCUGUCUCUGUGUGUGUGUCUGUAUAUUUGUGUGUGUCUGUGUAUGUGUGUGUUCUGUGUGUGUGUUUAUGUUUGUGUAUCUCUGUGUGUCUGUGUGUGUCUAUAUAUUUGUGUGUGUCUGUGUGUGUGUUCUGUGUGUAUGUGUAUCUCUGUGUCUCUCUUUGUAUCUGUAUAUUUGUGUGUGUCUGAGUAUGUAUGUGUGUGUACGUGUGAGUAUCUCUGUAUGUCUCUGUGUGUGUCUGUAUAUUUGUGUGUGUCUGUGUAUGUAUGUGUGUGUUCUGUGUGUGUGUAUGUGUAUCUGUGUGUCUCUGUGUGUCUGUAUAUUUGUGUGUGUCUGUGUAUGUGUGUUCUCUGUGUGUGUAUGUGUAUCUCUGUGUCUGUAUAUUUGUGUGUCUGUGUAUGUAUGUGUGUGUUCUCUGUGUGUGUGUAUGUAUAUCUCUGUGUCUUUGUGUGUCUGUAUAUUUGUGUGUCUGUGUAUGUAUGUGUGUGUUCUGUGUGUAUGUUUGUGUAUCUCUGUGUGUGUCUGUAUAUUUGUGUGUCUGUGUAUGUAUGUGUGUGUUCUCUGUGUGUGUGUAUGUAUGUGUAUCUCUGUGUCUUUGUGUGUCUGUAUAUUUGUGUGUCUGUGUAUGUAUGUGUGUGUUCUGUGUGUAUGUUUGUGUAUCUCUGUGUGUGUCUGUAUAUUUGUGUGUGUCUGUGUGUGUGUAUGUUUGUGUGUGUAUCUCUGUGUCUCUGUGUGUAUCUGUAUAUUUGUGUGUGUCUGUGUAUGUAUGUGUGUGUUCUGUGUGUGUAUGUGUAUCUCUGUGUGUCUGUAUAUUUGUGUGUGUCUGUAUAUGUAUGUGUUCUGUGUGUGUGUGUUGAGUAUCUCUGUGUGUCUAUAUUUGUGUGUGUCUGUGUAUGUAUGUGUGUGUUCUGUGUGUGUGUAUGUUUGUGUAUCUCUGUCUCUGUGUGUGUCUGUAUAUUUGUGUGUGUCUGUGUAUGUGUGUGUUCUGUGUGUGUGUGUAUCUCUGUGUAUCUCUGUGUGUGUAUCUGUAUAUUUGUGUGUGUCUGUGUGUGUUGCCUGUGAACUCCGUUUCUCCUGCUGGUCUGGGGAAGUGAAGGUUUCUCAGAUCUUGCCAAGCCCAGAGUUUUGUGCUGUCCUAUGCUAAGUCCACGUCCGCCUCAGUUCCUGGAUAACGUUGGUGUUAGUGAGAGAAGACAAAUGCCCUCCUUGCUUAAUAUAAGGCAGGCGGGGGGAAUGCCUCUUCCACCUGCGGGCCCCUGCCCACCCUUGUUCCACCUGCUGGAAAGGGGAGCUGCUGAGCAAACUGACCAGAGAGUGGGAGAAGCUGAAGAGGCCACACAUGUGGAUGACAACAGGACGCUCUUGGCCGCGUCCUCCUGCACGCCGAGGUGAUGCCCCUUUCUGGCAUCUGCACACAUGUGCACAGACACUGGCCUUUGCUUCAGGUGCUGGAACAUGCAGCCUGCCAGAUGGGGUGGGAUCCCAAACUGCAUCCGGUUGAGCUCGGGGACUCUGCAGUGUUGACAGAUCAAACAUGGUUGAAUACUACAAUUUUCCGGUUCAGCCUGUAGUGUUACAGCAACAGGAGGCAGAAGGCCUGCACAGACGUGAGCCUGACGCAUACAUGCAGGAAAGGACCCUGCCCCUUGGGCCGUGUGGCCCAGAGCUCCCCGCAGUAUUGAGAUGUCUGCGGUGGUGGCAGACAGCCCCAGGGGGAGAAUCACGUGGAGGCGUCUGAGGUGCAGAGCAAGGCCACGCCACCCACCCAGCAUGUGUGCUGAGCCCCUUAGAGAUGAAGCUCUUGGCCAGGGUUCACCACGUGACCACAAGGCCAGCCCGCCCAUCGUGGCAGAGUCCUGUAGGACCCGUCAUGUCCUCAGGUUGCGUGGGCCGAGCAACAAGCCCGCACAAGAUGGAAGUGGUGCGCCUAGGCCAGCGUCCUCGGAGGAAGGGAGUAAGCUAAGCACGAGUGGCCUCACCCCCAGCCAGCUACGUCUCCCACCUGGGUCACUCCCCACGGAGGGCAGUCUUGGCUCAAGGUACAGCCCCACAGAGGGCAGUCUCUUUCAACCAGCUGGCAGAGGAGGAAGAAGGCUGGGGCAUGGUUCAGGGAUGGGUCAGCUUAAUCAGUGGAUGCAAGCCAAACGUGGGCUGGUGGUUAUCCUACAGCCCCACUCAGCAGUGGCCCCGAGUGGCAGAGGUGGGGUAAAUCCUGCCCGUGCCAGAGCUUUGGGCAGGGCACCAGCCACUUGCUUUCCAUAGAAGGAAAGGAGCUGGAGGAGAAUACGCACAUUGACUCGGGCAGCUGGGAACAGCUUGGCUGGCUGGACCAAGGCUUGGAGAGACUCGGGAAUUGGAAGAUCAGGGACAAGGAGGUCUGGGGUUGAGGCAGCACGUGGACCCGAUGGAGUGACCUGAAUGUGAAGAUCUAUGGAUGGACAAUGACACCCAGGUAGACAGGAUGACCUGGCCAGUUGACCACCACCAGCCUCUGUCACCUGUGUCCUCAGUGUGACACAAUGGGCUCCUGGGCGGAGAGGUGGUGGUGGCAGGGAUAGGGGUAUGUGUGGCCCCAGCAUUGUGGGCCCCAACUCAUGGAGGCUGAUCCACCUACUGCCAGAUGUCCAGCCUACGAGCAACAGACACCAAUGCUGAGCCCCUACGUGGCACCACCCCUGGGAAAGGCUGGCCAGCCGCUCAGUGGCAAGUUAAUUGCAUCAAGGGCAUUCUGCCCAGGAGAGACCCCAGAAGGGUGAGCAGCUACUCUCGCCUGGCUCCAGCAUGUGUUCUGGGUACAAGUGUGUCUUUUCUGCCCUCAGGGUCUGGCCAGCACCACCAAGUAGGAGCUGACCCAGCGUUGGCAGGGGCGGCAGGAGGAUGACUAUCAGCUACAGCCUGGAGGCCAGCUGCAGCUCGGCCCCACGAAUCCGCUUCCCACCCUUCCUCUGCCCAGGAUGGGAGCCUAGCCAGAAUCCUGGAGGAGAUGUUCCCAGGGUCCAUCUGUUUUGGUUUGGAUUUUCUCAGAAGCAGCCCCUAAGCCAAGGAUUCUAAUGCAAGAACUGUUAUUUCUUUGGGAGGCGCUGGAGGAGGCAGUGGGGUGACACGAGGAAGAGACCAGCCAACAGAGGGCAUGUCAUUAAGUCAGAGUCAGCCAGCGGGGAGCUUGGGAGCCGGCUCAGACCACACCUUGGAGUUAGCUGCCCAGAGAGGAUGCGGGAGCUGGGGCACCAAUCCACUGACUCUGGGCACUUGGUGCUUGGGGGCUCCUCCUGGGGCAGGGACUGACCCUUGUCACUCCAGGUUUCCAACAGGGAGUGUACCUCAUGUAUUGCGAAUAAGGGAGUGAUCUCUGUUAACGAUGACUUGGUCUGCAUCUUUCACGGAUCGAGCAUUUUCCCCACGUGACCACGACACAUACGACUAUCCUUCACACUAAGAAGACUUCCUUUACCUCUAUAGCAUCAAAUACAAGUUCAUAUCCAAGUUUCCCUAAUUAUCCAGAGAUGUGUUUUUACAGUUGGUUUGUUUGAAUUAGGAGCCAAACAAGUUCGCAUUUCCGAUGAUGGAACCUGUUUCAGCCUCUUUCCUCCCUUCUGUGGCCCCACUGGCUGGUUGCAGUGUCUGGGUCAUUGGCUGCAGUGCCCCCAACCCUGGAUUUGCUGUGUCCUUGUGGUGGUGUUUAACAUGCUCCUCUACCCUUGAAUUUCCUGUCAAUUGCAGUUAAGAUGAGGGUACUGCCAGCUUCACAGGUGUGCAAUCUCAUGGGGCCUUGCACUUAAGAAGGGCUCUGUGCUGGGCUUAAUGCUCGGCCAGGUCUGCCCUGAAUCUUGAUACCUUUGCCUUUGAACUUGUGUUUUGGAAGCACUGCACAGCAGGGGCAGGAGCACAGGAGAUGUGCAUGAUAUGCACGUCUGCCAUUCCUUGCCUCUCCAUUCACACGCGGCAUUGGUGACACAGCACAGAAUUCCAGUGACCCUAGGAUGCACGGGAGACCAGCAGGACUCGAGGCCAGGAACAGGUCACUGUGUGUGUUUGCCACUGAGUCUGUGGGAAAGCCACACCUUCCACAUGAGUCCACUUCAAAUGUAGAAAGAAGGCAGUGGCCUUGUGAAUAACACCAACCACCAAGGACCCUAUUGUACUUUUUCUUACUUAUUCUACUUUCGUGUAUUAGCCAAGCACUUACACUGAAAACAAUGCAUGGACGGAAAGAAGACGGGAAAAGCCACAGUUCCUUCUUUCAGUUCUUCCAUUUUCACCGGUAAGCUGCAGGCAGUGUCAAGAAGGCAGUAGCACGGCCAGUAUCGAGAAGUGAAAUCAAAACCCUUGGUUUAGUUUUGCACAGCACUUCCACUGUUCAGGUAAAAAUUAAAUAUACAUACAUAUGUGAGCUACAAAAUAGGAAUCGUGUAAUCUCUGUGUUUCUGCAUGGGGAUCUAAUGCUUUUAUAUUUGUAUUUAAAACUGACAUUGCACAAUAUAAAAUGAACAGUAAAAUUCAGCUAAAACAUAAAAAUUGAAAUUUUCUUUACUUAGGAUGACCUUAAUUAGCAAAUAACAAUGGUAAAUUAUUAGAGAGAACAGAGGAAAAGGAAAAGUUUUGUUUUUUAACACUGUUAAGAGCAGUUUUCCCUGUUUUGUGAACAAGGGACUGUGUGUUUUCAUUUUAUAGUUUCUCCCCUAACCUAUCACUUUUGAAGUUGCUGCCCUGGCUUCAGAACCUAUGAGUGUGGAGUAAAGCCCCACCUACACCUGCACAGAGCUCGGGCUCCCCUCCUCACUCAUAUGCUCUGUGGUCACUGUCCUCUUCGUCUCUAGGUCCCAGCAGACCAGGAGCACAGAUGGGUCAGCCUACUCAGUUCUCCACGGGGCUCCCUGUUCUCAGAAUGGUCUGUGCUUGGAGAAGGCUCCUAAGUGCCUGGGAAUAGGUGGGCUGUGUGUGAAGCGGAUGAAGGCGAUACAGAGCGAGGACGUGGCCUGAAACCGAGAGCAGCAUUCUCCCUUCCCUGCUUCCAUCCGUUCCUGGUCUGUGUCCCAGCCCUGGUACGUAAGGCUGUCCCAGAGCCCCUGUAAAUUCACUUUCCUGUUAAAUGAUUCCGGAUCAUUCGGUUAUGUGCAACCAGAAGUCCUCACCCAUCCGUCAUCAUACAGCAUUAAAGCUUCAGGCGACUUGGGUAUGUUUUUAAAACAAAAACGUAAGAAUUGUUUUCUUCCUUCUAGCUACCAACUUACUCACAAACCCAGCACUCUAUAAAAUGUUGAUUUCAGGUACUGUUAGAGAAAGGUGGUCGUUAGCAGAACUUAGCAGGGAUGACUCAGGCCACGCACCCUGGGCACUGGGGAAGCAUCAUCCUGUGAAGGAAUCCAGACAUUCGAAGAGUUUACAGAGAGAAAAAUCGAUGACGGGACCACAGCCAUGCCGUCACGUAUCUGAGCCACAGGCAUUUUAGCAGAAUUUCUAGAGACCAUCUAGAAAUUCUCCCUGCUUAUCCUUUCACUCGCCUGACCAUCUGACAUCCAUCCUGGGCCACUAGGUCCUGCUGGUGUCUGAACCGGUCCAGCCUUGUUUGGAAGGCAUUGAUGCUUAGUGCUGGAGCACACAGGAAGGACUGUGAAUGAGAAAACUAUAGUCAUGCAUCACUUAAUGACAAGAAUAUGUUCUGCAAAAUGCAUUGUUAGGCAAUUUCAUAAUUAUACAAACAUCAUAGAGUGUGCCUGCAGCUCCCCUAGGUGGUAUAGCCUAUUACACACCAAGGCUGCAUGCUGGAUGGAGCCUAUUGCUCCUAAGCUGCAGACCUGUACAGCAUGUGACUGUGCUGAAUACUACAGGCAACUGUGACACAAUGCUAAGUAUUUGUGUAUCUAAACAUAUCUCAACAUAGAAAAGGUGUAGUAAAAAUGUAAUAUGACAAUCUUAUAUGGAACUGCCACCGUAUAUGUGGUUCUCGUUGCCUAAAAUGUCAUCCUGCAGCACAGGACUGUACUUCUGUGGGUCAGCUUUACUCUGAAAUGUCUGUGUCUUAACCUGUAACAUUCAACCUGGACAGUGAAGAACUUAGUACAAGAUAUGGUGCACAUAGUUUUGUCCUGGCCAAACUUUGUUUUUCAGGUACACAGAGGCCAUUGAGAAUGUUGAAUAAUAACUGAAGUUAUGCUUCCUGUGGAGAUGGUACUAAGAAAUGCUGUAUUCCAACACUAAUAUUUGUGUAUCAUUGCAAGGGGGUCCUGGACCCUAAGCCAAGGACCCUGUUUUGAUCAGUUUCUUCAUGUGAGGGCUGACUGUGGGGCCACACAUUGUGAUGGAUCAGGAAUAUCUUUUUUUUUUUUUUUCUUUUGAGACAGUUUCACUCAUUCAGGCUGGAGUGCAAUGGCGGGAUCUCGACUCACGGCAACCUCCGCCUCCCGGGUUCAAGCAAUUCUCCUGCCUCAGUCUCCCCAGUAGCUGGGAUUACAGGCACCCACGACCACGCCUGGUUAAUUUUUGUAUUUUUAGUAGAGAUGGGAUUUCACCACGUUGGCCAGGCCGAUCUCAAACUCCUGACCUCAGGUGAUCCACCUGCCUUGGCCUCCCAAAGUGCUGGGAUUACAGGCAUGAGCCACCAUGCCUGGCCAGGAACUCUACUAAAAAUACAAAAAAUUAGCCAGGCGUGGUGGCGGGUGCCUGUGGUCCCAGCUACUCAGGAGGCUGAGGCAGGAGAAUGGCAUGAACCCGGGAGGUGGAGCUUGCAGUGAGCCGAGAUCGCACCGCUGCACUCCAGCCUGGGUGACAGAACUAGACUCCGUCUCAAAAAAAAAAAAAAAAAAAUUGUGUAUUUAUCUUAUAAGCAACAAUCAAACAUGUGUUACUGCUUUUUUAAAAUGUUAAAUGAGAACUCAGCAAAACUUCUCCACUCUGAGGUGUUCCAGAUCGACUCUGGAGUCUAAAAGCUCUGACCUAGAGAGACACCUUGAGUCAACAGAGACCGUAGGCAUCGCAGUGGGCUACAGAGAAGGCCAGGUGUCCUAAACAAACACAUUUGCCAAGCCACCUGUUUGCUUGUGAGCACCAGGAGCAAGAGAGGAGCAGGGAUACCCCAAAGUUCUGCUAUGGCUUCAUCCCUCUGCUUUAUUUAAAUGCAGUGGGGUUCGGCAUGGCUGUUAAACACUAGGUGAUUUUAGAAGUAAUGCAACAUCCGCUUGUUCCUCCAAAUCAGAGCUGUGAUCCUGCUCGCCCACUGACUGUAUUUCAGCUGCCCAGGUGUCAGCUUAUCAUCUUUUUCCACAGCCUUGUCAUCAUUCUCAGUGAAUUCCAACAUCUCCUUUUUACCACGAUUCACUGAAAUCACAAGGCGCAUGCUAGUUCUCAGUGUCAAAUCCUCCAUCUUCCACAGAAGUGCCCCUUUCUUCCAUUCUUCUUAUGCAAAUGUAACAUUCUCUUCCAGUUCAUUUUUCUAACAGUAACGUUUGUUUAAUUCACAAAUUAAUUCUUGUAGACAUGGCUGUUGAAUGACCCCGAUUGGAAGUGACUUGUCUUGCUUUAUGUCCUAAGACCAUCUUUUUGGCCUCUAUCCAUCUGAAGGCAGCUGCAUCAGGCCUUUCCUUUCGUAUUCCGAAUGGGAAGCUGCGGCCCCACUCUCUCCAGACUGUCUGCGCCGCCCGCUCCCUGUUGGCUAGCACAUUGGAGAGGGCAGCCAGGCCCAGGGCAGCUGUGACUGCAGCCGUCUUGCCCUCCCAUCUGCUUCAGCAGAGCCCAUGCUGGCUUGGAACACAGGACGGACAGCUUCUCCUGGACCCUGGUUCCUGCCCCUGACCUUGGGAUGUCACCAUCAGCAAAUCCCCAAAGGCUCAGAUUGACAACUCCUAUUAGGAUUCCAUCUGCUCAUGCUUUAAUGUUUUUGACCUGGGAGAGAUGAAGGCUUGUUUUUCCUGUGUCCACUGUGGGGACAUCAGUGGGGAGCUGGCCCCAGCCCAAGCCUGUGUUCUCCAUUGCUAUUAUUUGCAAGUUAAUAUAAUGAUUUGAGCCAAAAUAAACUCAAGACAGGCUGCAGAAAUUCUGCAAGUUAUCUAAGCAAGUGUGUGAGGUGCAUCUGAUCAAGCCCUUACUGAGAAGGGUGGGUGCCCAAAUCCUGCCAUUUCCCACUCCUGCUUGGGGAAGGAGCCCUUAUGGGUCACUGUGGGGAUGGAGUGGGACCGGGGGAUUUCUGCCAGGGGCUGCUAAUGGUGCGAGGGGUAGGGGCUCUGAUUUGUCCUGCCAGAGUCCACCGGAGAAAGCUACACUUUCAGCGUUUGAGGGGCAGGAUUCUGACCCUAAGGAAGGUGAGACAAGGCAGGAGUCAGGGUUGGGAUCCUUCCAGCAGGCGUUCAGGGCCAGGCAGACACGUCCAGUGUGAGGCCAGGUCAGACAUUACUGAGAUGCCAGCCAUCCAGUGGGUGGGUGAAUGGGCUGUCUUUUACAUGGGUGUCCUGUGAAGCCAGGAUCAUCCAGCCUUUGGGUGAGAUGGAGCUGGGCAUGUUUUGAUCUUCGCUAGGGUUAUCAGAAUUCCAGACCAAAUUACAGCCAAUGCUCAGCACCUGAUGGGUAUUAUUGUUUGCUACCCAGGCUAAUCUCAUGUUUCUACGGUUACUUUCCAUUCUCCUCUGUUUCAUUGUAGGAAUCUCGAUAAGCUUUUUAAAUUUUUUUCAGGCAUAAGUUAUUUUCCCAUUGAUGUGUUGCUGUGCUCAUUAGGCUAACUCUUUUUUUUUUUUUUUGAGUCAGAGUUUCACUCUUGUCGCCCAGGCUGGAGUGCAGUGGUGUGAUCUUGGCUCACUGCAACCUCCACCUUCUGGGUUCAAGCGAUUCUUCUGCCUCAGCCUCUUGAGUAGCUGGGAUUACAGGCAUGUGUCACCACACCCAGCUUAUUUUGUAUUUUUAGUAGAGAUGGGGUUUCACCACGUUGAUCAGGCUAGUCUCGAACUCCUGAUCUCAGGUGAUCUGCCCGCCUCAGCCUCCCAAAGUGCUGGGAUUACAGGCAUGAGGGCUCUUUUUGUAUGUUUUAUUUAAGUGUCCAACUCAAUGGUUCUUAACACAUUCAGAGAUAAAUGCAACUGUCUUCGUCUUUUUGUGCUGCUGUAACAAAGUACCACAGGCUGGAUAAUUUAUAAUGGACAGAACUUUACCAGCUGACAGUUCUGGAGGCUGGAAAGUUCAGUUUCAAGGUGCUGUCAGCCUUGAUAUCUGGUGAGGGCCCCAGUCUGUGCUGCCAGGUUGGUGCCUUGAACACUGUGUCUUCCAGAGGAAAGAAACACUGUUCUCACAUGGCAGAAGAGUGAAAGAGCCAGGAGAGAAGUCACUUCUGAAAUACCUUUUAUUAAGGCGUCACACUCACCCAUGAGGGGACAUGCUUAUGACCUAAUCACCUCUUAAAGGCCCCACCACCCAAACCAUUACAUUGGCAGUUAAUUUUCAACAUGAAUUGUGGAGCAGACAAACAUUCAAAGCAUAGCAGCAACCAUCACCCAUUUCUAGAAAAUUGUAAGAAAUCCUAUGCCCUUUAGUAUCGACCUCACUAUUUUCCCCUCCCCUCACUAAGCAACUGCUAAUCUACUUAUAGAUAUUUCUUUGGGAGUGGAUUUUUUUUCGCUUAGCAUGAUGUUUUCAAGGUUCACCCGUGUCGUGUUAGUACUUCUUUCCUUUCCGUGGCCAAACAGCACUCCAUUUUAUGGGUAUAUCACAUUUUGUUUAUUCAUUUAUCAGCUGAGAGGCAUUGCUCCCUCCACCUUUUGGCUGUUGUAAGUAAUGCUGCUAUGAACAUUAAUACAUGAGUUCCUGCAUGGACAUGUUCUCAUUUCUCUGGGGUAUUUACCUAGGAGUGACAUUGCUGUGUCAUAUGGUAAUUCUCCGUUUAAGUGUUUGAGGAAGUGUUGUGCUAUAUUCUAAAGUGGCAGCACCAUUGUCCAUUUCCACCAGCAAUCGUAAAGGUUCCAGUCUCUCCACAUCCUUGCCAACACUUGCCAUCCUUUAUAAAUCCUUUUUAUUUCUGUAAGAUCAGUAGUAAUAUGUCUCCUUUAUAUUUCUGAUUAUAGUAGUUUGAGCCUCUUCUCUUUCUCUCUCUCUAUAUUUUUUUUUGGUCAGUCUAGCUAAGGGUUUGUAAUUUUUGUUGAUCUUUGCAAGGAAACUGGUUUUGGUUUCACUGAUUUUUUUCUAUUAUUUUUAAAUUUUAUAUUCCACUAAAUCCCAAUCUAGUCUGUAUUAUUUCCUUCCCAUUGCUUCCAUAGGUUUUGUAUGUACUUUUUCCAGUGUCUUAAGAUGUUAGAAAAAUUCGAGAUAUUACUACUUUUUAAAUACAGUCACAGUCAUAAAUUUCUAAGUACUGUUUUAACUGUUUGAACCCCAUUAGUUUUGAUAUGUUGUGUCUUCAUUUUCAUUUAUCUCAAAGUAUUUUUAUAAUUUACCUUUUGAUUUCUUCUUUUACUCUUUAGUUGUUUAAAAGCAUUUUAUUUAAUUAAUACAUAUUUGCAAGUUUCACAAGUUUUCUCUCCAUUCUUGACUUCAAUUCCAUCAGGAUCACAGAAUAUACUAUCCUUUCCAUGCUUUAAAAUUCUUUGAGAUUUGUUUAUGGCCUAGCAUAUACUCUCUCCUAAAAAAUGUUCCAUGUGCACUCAAGAAGAAUGUAUGGUUUACUGUUGUUGGGUGUGGUGUUAUAUUGAAGUCUGCUAGAUCUAGUUGGUUUAUUGCGCCGUUUAAAUCUAUUUCCUUGUUUAUCUUCUACCUAGCUGUUAUAUCUAUUGUUGGAAAUGAGGAUACUAAAAUAUCCAACUAUUAUUGUUGAAUUGUCUAAUUUGCCCUUCAUUCCUGUCAGUUUUUGCUUUGUGUAUUUUAGUGGUAUAGUGCUAGGUGCAUAUAUGUGUAUAAUUGUUGUACCUUCUUAAUGGAUUGAGCCUUUUAUUGUUACUAUUUAUCCCUAGAAACACUAUUGUUUUAAAGUCUGUUUUGUCUGAUAUUAGUAUAGCCACUCGAACUUUCUUGUGGUGCUGUUUGCAUAAUAUGUCUUUUUCCAUCCUUUUCCUUUCAAUCUAUAUCCUUGACCUAAAGUCUGCCCUAUGUGGACAGCAUAUUAUUGCUAGAUCUCUUUUUUUCUUUUUGUAAUCAUCUGACCAUCUCUGCCUUUUGAAUGAGUUGUUUAAUCCAUUCAAAUUUACUGUUGUAAUUAAUAUGGUUGGAUUUAUGUCUACCAUUUUAAUUUUUGUUUUGUAUAUUUUAUGUAUUUUUUGUUCUUCAUUUUCUCUGUACUGCGUUCUUUUUCAUAUAUAUGUGACUAUUUUCAUACAUACGUGACUUUAUGUAUAUGUGACUUUUUUCUAAUGUAACAUUUACAUUUUUAAUCUUUUUUUCUAUAGUUUUAAAUGUUGUUUUCUUAGUGGUUGCCAUAAGUCUUACCAUAUACAUCUUAUCAGAGUCACCUUUAAAUUUACAGUAGCUUAAUUCCAAUUAGAUGUAGAAACAUUUCUCUCUCUCUCUCUCUUUUUCUUUUUAAGACAGGAUCUCACUCUGUCACGCAGGCUGGAGUGCAGUGGGUUAAUUAUGGCUCACUGCAGCCUUGACCUUCUGAGCUCAAGCAAUCCUCCCACAUCAGCCUCCCAAGUAGCUGGGACUACAGGUGUGUGCCAUCAUGCCCAGCUAAUUUUUGUAUUUUUUGUGGAGAUGGUUUUUUGCCAUGUUGCCCAGGCUGGUCGUGAACUCCUGGGCUCAAGCGAUUACCUGCCUCAGCCUCCCAAAGUGCUGGGAUUAUAGGUGAGAGCCACCGUGCUUGGCCAGAACACUACUCAUAUAUAUUAUAUUUUUCCUUUUUUGUGGUAUUAUUUUCAUGCAGAUUACAUCUAUAAAUGUUACUAACCCAACGAUAUGCAUUGUUGUUAUUAUCUUAUACAAUUUUAUGUUUCUUAAUAAAGCUGAGAGGGAAGUAGAGUGAGUAUGUAUUUAUAGCUUUUGUUAUAUUAACUUCUAUUUACUGUUUCUGGUACUCUUCAUUUGUUCCUAUGGAUUCAAGUUACUCUCUGGAGUAAUUUCUUUAGCCCAAUACAGCUUUGUUCCCACCCACCUCUUUUGUCCUGUUAUUGACAAGUAUAUUACAUUUCCAUAUGUUAUGCACCCCAAAAUACAUUAUAUACAUACCAUUUUAUACAAUAGCUCUUUUGUUUUUUAAAGAAAGUUAUCAGGAAGAAUAUACAAUUACCUUUUAAAUCAUUUAAGAUAAGAAAGGAGAAGUAGCAUGCAUUUUACUGUCUUUUAUAGUUGCAUAAUUGUAUUUACUGGUGCUUUUUUUUAAAAUGUGAAUUUGAAUUACCAACUGGGGUCACUCGCUUUUAGCCUGAAGAACUUUCUUUAGUAUUUCUUGGGUAUGCUACCAAUAAAUUCUUCCAGUUUUACUCAUUUGGGAAUGUCCUUAUUUCAUUUUAAUUUUUGAAAGAUAGCUUUGCUGCAUAUAUAAUUUCUGGGUGACAGUUUAUUUCCUUGAGAAUUUUAAAUAUAUCAUCCCAUCACCUUCAGUCCUCUAUUGUUUCUGAUGAGAAGUCAGCUGUUAGUCUUAUUGUGGUUCCUCUGUAAGUGAUAAGUGGCUUUUCUUUUGUUGCUUUUUCAAGAUUGUCUUAUUUUCUUUGACUUUCCGCAUUUUUACUAUGAUGUGUUCAUUUGUGGAUCUCUUUGUGUUUCUUUUACUUGCAGUUUGUUGAGCUUUUGGAUGUAUAGAUUGAUGUUUGUCAAUAUAUUUGGGAUUUUUUUGUUAUUAUUUCUUCGAAUCUUUUUUCUGUUCCUCUCUUUCUCUGUCUCUCCUUCCCCAUCUCUGCCCUACCCCUAGUUUCUGUUACUCUAAUUAUGCAUAUGUUGGUGCACCUAAUGGUCUUAUACAUUUCUCUGAGGAUCUGUUUUACUUCAUUCUUUUUUCUCUUUGAUCUUCAUUUUGCAUAAUCUCAAUAGACCUAUCUUCUUCAAAUUUGUGAUUUUUUUCUUCUCCCAGUUUAAAUCUACUGUUGAGACCCUCUACUGACUUUUUUAAUAUCAGUUUUUAUACUUUUCAGAAUUUCCAUUUGGCUCUUUUAUUAAAAAAAAUUUCUAUCUAUUGAUAUUCUCUCUUUAAUGCAACAUUGUUCUUAUACCUUUAUUUUCUUUUUGCUCAUCACCAACCUGGGAGCUAGCCCAGGCUAGGCCAGGUGCAUGUGUAAUAACCAAGUGGAGUAAUGUACACUCCCCAGAUCUUGGUAGCUUAGCAUGCAGUGUAAUAUUUGCAGGCACACAGUCUACUGCUGGUCCAGCUGAGAGUCCCAGGCUCUGUCCCCACAUGGAAGCUCCUCAUGGUGGGGGCCUGGCCACUGCUGGCUGUGGCUCCUCUGCUCCUGCCUUUGGAGAGUCUCUUCCCAUCACUGUGGGAAGAGACAGCUGGAGGGAGAGCUGCAGCUCCUCAGUGCUUUCUCCCAGAAGCCACACGUGCCUCUCCUUUCCAUGGCCCUGUGGCCAGGGUUAGCAGCCAGCAGCAUGGUCUGCAGAGGCUGGCGCGGAGGGACUCAGUCUCCAUGUGCCUGAGGGAAGGAACUGGACACUUGGAACACUGUCUGCAUCCACUGCACUGACACUGGGCAUCACCAUGGUAGGCCCCCAAGUCUGGACACAGCCUUCUUGAACCCCCCUCUUUCUAUGUAAUGAUGAAGCCAGGCUCUUCAUGCUGAAUUCUCCCUGCUCAGGACAGUGCCUCUCUCCUGGUGACUGCCAGCAGGGCAGAGGGUGGUGUCUGUUCUAUUGUGGGGAAAUACUUUUGCUUAGCAUUGCAGUGGGAGUGGGUUUUUACAGCCUGGUGGGGCAGCUGGUGGGCGAUCAUCCUAGAGAUCUUGUUGUAAAAUCAUCUUCACACCAGCACCACCUCCCUGCUUAGCCUUGAUGACUGCACAAGGGGCUUUCCUCACUUCCAGCAUGUGCUGCUGUGAACCCGCCUGGUCCUCUGUGUGGCUGCCACCCUCAGUGGGGUUGGGGUCCUGGGUUGGGGCUGUGUGUCCAGCUCUGGGGAGGCUCCCAAAGCAGGGAUGGACUCCCAGGCAAAGAGCUUGCCCUGGCAAAUUGGACAGUAAAUGUGACCGGGUACUGGGUGUCCAUCCUACUUCAGAUGCCCCCGAUCCAGGGCUGCUGACCAGGGAGGAACUGGACUAUCAGGGAACAGACACAGUGGCAGGAGCCCCUCUGUCGGUUGCCACACCCUGCUGGCCCCACAAUCCAUGGAGCACCGAGCCUCUGCUGGUCCCCCAGGCUCUGUCCCACCCAGGUCCUGAGCCUCUUUGUUCCUGGCUGCACACGGAGGGGCAUUGCCAAGAAGCCCUGGGAUGCCCGAGAGGCAGGUUUGUGUGCCAUAUGGAGGGGGCAGCAGUGUCAGGCCUGUCAUGCGUCUGUCAUACAUGUGUGUUACUCAUGGAGUCACAGAGCUGGGGAGGGGGGCCCUAGAGUUCUUCUUGUCUAUCUGCCCCUUCUGCAGCUGAGGAUACUGAGGCUCAGCACAGGGACGUGCACCUCAGAGUGACUCAGGUGAGAAGACGUUGAUCCCGGGUACCGGGUAUGUUGGUGGGCUCCAGGCAUCACCAGCAGCACCUGCUCCUCAGAUAAGGCCCCAGCCUGAGGGCAGAGUUGACCUCCCCCAAUCCCACCAGCACUUAGUGGGCCUCCUGCCAGCCCUUGUCACAAUCUGCUCAUCCAAUGGUCCUCCACAGAGUAUGAGAAACAGAGCUUGGCUCGAUGCCAUCUUGCCUAGACCUCAGAGGACCCAGUGGUCCAGAGUGGAUAUUGUGGGCUCCCAGGAUAGCAGAGCCACCUCCCACCCUCUUCCAAUUGACCCCAAGCUCUUGUUUCAAUCCUUCAGGAGACAGGAAGCUCUCUGCCUGCAAGUCUUACAGUUCACGUGCUGGAAAACGCUGAUUAAAACCUUCUACUCAGCUGCUGUCUGACACUCAGACCCCAGCCCACAGCCCCUCUUUGGAUUGCCAGCACAUAGUGCCUGGACCAGGGCAGGCUCUCGGAAAUAGUGGUUGAAUGAUGCACCUGGAAAAAACCAUCGUGGUCUGUGGUCAUGCCCAGCCCUCAGCUCCCUGCAGUUCCUCAGCCUUCCUUCCUGGAUGGGUCCCUGCAGGACGGGCCUUCAAGAAGGAGCCCACAGGUGCACACCUGCCACCUUGACUUGGAAGAUGCUCCUGAAGUCGCCACCAGAUGGAGCCCCUGUUGGAGUCUGAAACGUCUCCCGCUCAUCCCUAUGCUUUGGGUCAACAGUGACUUCAGCAUUGACUCAGUAAAGAAGAGGAUGACCUGUUUCUGGGCCAAACAGGGAUCCAAAGACUCACAGAUUUCAUUUUUUUCCAGUAACCAAGUAUCUCACACACAGAGACAAGUGCGGAAGGUAGACGUCACUCACCUGUGCUCACCCCCGACAACUAACCAGACUCGCAGUUCAGGGAGUGCUCUGGCCACCCCUGUGCUAUGAGGCUUGGAGGCUUUCCCAGGCGGUGGUGGGGUGACCUCCAAGUGCAGGUGCCCACAGCUGAGCACUGUCCCCGCCCCCUUCUCCGGCUGUCUUGGGACACAGGGAUCCGGCCUGAGGGAGCCUCGUGUGUUUCUCCACUUCCUUGGUGCGGGACCUGCGGAAACAACAAGGCUGAGCACCCGCCUCUGUGCCAGCUGCUGCUGUUCCUUUUGUUUUUGGUUGUUUUUGUUUGUUUGCUGUGGCUUGCCUGGCUGUUUAGGGAGACUAUUGGCAUUCGCUCCAGGAAAUCCUCUCUGGGAUGGAAGUACUUAUUCACGCAGGCGGCUGGAUCGAGGGAAGCACAGUUUCCAGCAACUCCGCUUGGUUAUGAUUAAUGGAGAUAAAUCUGCCCAAGAGAAGCUAAAUUUAGCCAAAAGUUGAGCCCCCUGCUUCCGCACUCCGCCCUCAGGCACAGGCAGAGUGUGUGUUGCUGUUGGCCAGAGCCCAGAUAACAUCAAGAGGUGGAAAACAAUCCCCAGAAAUCUGAAAAAUGUAGAACAAGGAAAGAAAAUGUUCAAUCCAUCAAAACAAACAGAGAUACAAUCUCACCCCCCUUGGUUUUUGUACCACUGGGUUUAGGGGAAAAGAAAACAAAAGACUGAAUUAGAGAGAUACGCAUUAAAAACACAAAAAGAUUGAAGACAGGAACAGAGUGCUCCCGCACAGGGUCACAGGGCUUGAGAGACCCCGGACCCUCAAGUGCAAGGCCCUGGUGGGGCAGGGCAGUGGGCAGGAGGGAGGCCGGGUUCCCCAGGGUGCACGCCAGGUGUCCCUCAGCCCUGGCUUCCCUCCCUCCAUGCGUUGCGUGCUUACCUUUUUCUCUUCCCGACCCUGGCUGUUUCGAUAAUCUUCAGGCUUUGAGAGUGAAUUCAUUACUCCUGUCAUUUAUCCCACAAAGAUGUACUGUGCUGGGCACAGGCAGGGCCUGGGCCUGCAAAGAGGAAUAAGAUGGUCCCUGAUCCCCAGGACUCGAGAUUGCUGGGAGGGCGGCCCAGAUGGAGGUGGGAAAGCUGGAGGUGGCGUCUGGGCUGCCCUCUGGGUCUCCAAGCAGGUUCUGGGGUUGCAGGGCUCUGUGAGCUAGGGGAACCCUGCUGGCAUGCUGCUUGUUAGGAUCAUGCUUCUGGUGGCUUCUGUGUCUGGUUGGAAUGCUGGGGGGCGGGCACUGGGGAAGCAUUAGAGCCCACGAUUUGGGCCCUUCUUCUUUUGAUUUUGGGUAGUACACCCUUAGGAAACACUUUGGGAGCCACAAGCACCCUACAGAUGAAGUAUUUUAUUAUUUUUAAUAACUGAUCAUGAAUUCAGGGACCAUGAACCAUCCGCCUGAAGAGUCAGUAUUGCAGAAAGUUUGAAGCAUUGAACUCACAUUUCAGGAGUGCUGGGUCACUGUGAUGGGCUCUGGGGAGUGACCGGUGAGUAGCAGAGGGGCACAGUGAGAGGUGACGAGUUCCUGAAGGUCCCUCUCCCCAGGGGCACUUGGGGCCUCUUGGUGGGUGCUCCAGUAGGGCCCUGGGGGGACACACUGAUGUCCCCUUGCUGGUGGGGUGGAAAUUGUCCCUUCAGGGUGUGCAGGGCAGAUGCAUCCCUCUCUUAAUAAAUGGUGAUGUGGCAAAGCUCCAGGGUGAGGCACUGAGGGAUGCUGACUUCUAGAAGGAUUUGUGUUUGGAGAGUUCAGAGCUAGGCCUGAAAAAAUCUGCUGUCACUCCAAGACAUUGCACCUAUGCCAGGAGUUGCGGCUCCCUGAGAGCUGGUGUCUGACCCAGCAGGUCACCUAACCCCCAGGGGACCACAGGUGAGGGGUGCAGGAGCAGCAGGGGCCCCCAGCUCAUGGCCCCACUCCUGGAAAUCAGUGCAUGGGGUGGGGGGGUGGGGCUGCUCUUCUCUUGUGUUUAUCACAUCACAGCUGCCUUUAAAAUAGAGGAAAAUAUCUCCUCCAAGCAGGAAGAGUAACUUUCCACUGAUUGGCCGUUCUCUCUGCUCUCUCCCUUUGCACAAGCUCUGCCUGUGGGUUUCAGUGAGUUCUCUGUUCCUGAACAAAAAUGCAGCUCAGAGUGACCUUCCUUUCUCUUGUAGAAAGUUUAAUCUUUUUACACAUUUAUGGUAGGCAGAAUUCUAAAGUGGCCCAAAGAUUUCCACCCCCCGUUGUACCUGCCUUGGAUGAUUUCCUCCCCUGGGAUGUGGCAGACCCUGUGUGAUACAUGACAUGGCAGUGAAGAUUUUUCACAAAUGUAAUUAAAGUCACUAAUCAGCUGGCUUCGAGUUCACCACGAGGGCAACUAUUUGGGUGCUGAUUGAAAUCGCCUGAACCCUUCACAUCUGAUUUGAGGGGUGAGAGACGGGAAAGGAGGGACUCAGAGUCAGAGACUUGUGCUCCUGCAGCCUGGAGGAAGCUGCGCUGUGGCCUGUAAUAAAAGAAAAACUUCAGCCAAAUUAAAUUUAAAAGAGUUUAAUUGAGCAAUGAACAAUUUGCAGAUCGGGCGGCCCCCAGAAUCACAGCAGAUUCACAGAGACUCCCUCGCAGCCACGUGGUGGAAGAUUUAUAGACAAAAAAAGGGAAAUGACGUACAGAAAUUUGUAGUGAGGUGCAGAACGGCUGGACUGGUUGUAGCUCAUUGUUUGCAUUAUUUGAACACAGUUUGAACACUCAGCAGUCUAUGAAGUGUGGCCGCUGGGAUUGGCCAAGACUCAGCUAUUGUUACAGGCAGGCAUAUACUCCUAAAUUAAGUUUUCAAUCUUGUCUGACUUUUUUUUUUUUUUUUUUUUUUUUGAGACGGAGUCUUGCUCUGUCGCCCAGGCUGGAGUGCAGUGCAGUGGCGCGAUCUUGGCUCACUGCAACCUUUGCCUCCCAGGCUCACGCCAUUCUCCUGCCUCAGCCUCCCGAGUAGCUGGGACUACAGGCACCUGCCACCACGCCCGGCUAAUUUUUGUAUUUUUUAGUAGAGAUGGGGUUUCACCAUGUUAGGCAGGAUGCUCUCCAUCUUUUGACCUCGUGAUCUGCCCGUCUUGGCCUCCCAAAAUGCUGGGAUUACAGGCCUGAGCCACUGCAUCCAGCCUUUUGUCUGACUUUUAAGCCAGGUUACAGUUCAUUCACAAGGACUCAAAUAUAGAAGUGCGGAGUCCAUCACAGGCCAUAUUUAGUUUGCUUUAACACCUGGCGAAGGAGACCAUGAGCCGAGAAGCUGCAGGCAGCCUCCACAGAUCAGAAGCAGCCCCAGCUGACAGCAAGCAAGAAACGGGACCUCAGUCAAACAGACACAAGGCAACAAAUGACCAACAUCCCUAAUGAGACGGACAGGGAUUCUGCCCCAAACCUCCUCACAGAAGGCAGCCCUGCCACAUCUUGAUUUUGGCUUGUGAGACCCUAAGCAAAGAGCCCGGCCAUGUGGUGCAGAAUUUCUGACCCAUAACACUGUGAGCUAAUGAGUGUUGAUUAAGAUGCUAAGCAUGUGAUCAUUUAUCACUUGGUAAUGGGUGACUGUUACAAAAAGCAAUGCAAAUCUAUGGCACCCAAAUUAGAAAAAUCAGACAGGAAAAAAAAAGAAAGAAAGUGCAAACCACUAGUAAUGAACCAUCUAGACAUGACUAUUGUUAAUAUUUUGCUGCAUAGUCCUCCAAAUAUGUCGUAUGUUUAAUUUUCUCUCCCCCACUACGUAUCACAGAAUUAUGGAGCUACAAUUGACAUGAAUAAACCGCAUGUUUUAGCAUUGUACAGUUUGGUAAAUGUGCUGUGUGUUUACACCCACGCAGCCUUCACUGCACAGGAUGACGACCAUGUCCACCACCCCAGGAAGUCUCCUCACACUGCUCUGAAGUCUCUUUCUCCCACCCUGUCCAUCUUUCUGUCACUAUCCAUUAGGUCGCACAUCCAAGAAUUGUAUAUCAGUGCAGUCACACAGCAUGCACGCCUUUCUUUAUUUGUUAGUCUUAAAAAUCUUUGUGUUUCAUUGUGGAUGGUUUCUAUUGCUGCCUUUAGGUGCAGUAAUCUUUUCACCUGCAACCUUAAAUCUUCUAUGGAUCCCGUUCUGUGUACUUUUCAUAUCAAACAUUGCAGUUUUCAUCUCUAGAAUUUUGAUUUUGGGCCUUUUUAGUGUCUUUAAUGCUCUAUUUAAUGGAACCAUCUUUCCCCUCACCCCUUGGACAUAUGGAGCUGUAAACAAAAUAUAAAAUUCCAAGCCCCCCACCUGACGAAUGGACCCUCCCUCCCCUUGGCCAAUGGAAUUCCCAAGUUAACCUGAAAAAUUAGUUCAGGCUGUGGUGGGAAGGUGGGGGUCAGGCAUGCCUCCUUCUACCCUCCUCCCAUUUUAAUUCAGGCACAGCUGACCAGCAUUAACAUUAAAACAGAGACCUUCAGAUUUCAGAUCUUAAGACGAAACAGACUCUGUAGCAGUAAGAUACCAAAUUCCAGCCCGACUCUAGUAUAGCAUCACUUGACAGAUUGCAGGCCCUGGAAGAAAUGGAAGUAUUUUACCCCAAAAUAUAUUUCUUUGACAUAUUUUGAAACGGCCCUGCAAAGCUGUCUCUCGUGGGGAAAGUCUACAUUCUGUAGAGAAUCCUCAUUCUUUUCUAGGUCUUUUCCCUGAUCGGGGAGAAAACCAACAGGCUGGCACCGUUUUAGGUCUGCUAAGAGCUCUGAAGCCUGCUACCUGGAGGCUUCAUCUGCAUGACACAACCUUGGUCUCCACAACCCCUUAUCCUAACCCAGACUUUCCUUUUGAUUGAUUCCAGGUCUUUAGCUAAUGACUCUCAACCAAUUGCCAAUCAGAAAAUCUUUGAAUCUGCCCCUGCUUCCAGUUAUCCCUCCUUUCCACACCAAAUCAGUGUACAUCUUACAUGUGUUAAUUGAUGUCUUAUGUCUCCCUAAAAUGUAUAAAACUGAGCUGAGACCCGACCACCUUGGGUGCGUGUUCUCAGGCUCUCCGGGUGCCAUGUCACCAACCAUUGGUCACUCAUAUUUAGCUCAGAAAAAAAUCUUUUCACAACUUACAGAGUUCGAAUCUUCUUGUCAACAGAGCAAUGUCGUACAACUACCUCAGUGUCCUUGAAUCCCGACCCCACGAUUCGUGUCCACUAAGGUCAGGUUCCAUUGACUUUUCUCAUCAUGAGAGAUCACAUUUUCCUUCUUCCUGACAGGACUGGGCAUUUUUAAUUGGAUCCAGACAUAAUGAAUCUUACCUUGUCGGGUGCUAGGUAUUUUUGCAUUCCUAUAAAUAUUGGUUUGUUCACACAUGCUCUGAUCUCUGCACUACCGAACCCUCGAGUGGGUCCCUUCAUGGAACCUGGCGUUGAACUCUGUGCAGCUCUCUCCUCUGUCAUAAUACAGCCCCCUCCUCAGAUGUUAGACUCUGCCUUCUCAACCCAGGGAGUCCUGCAGGCCGGGCCCUCUCCAGGCAGUAAGCAGGGCCGUGACGGGGCUCAGCUCAUCUUUGUUUUCUAUUUCUCAAGCAUAACGUCCUUAAUUUCCUCAUAUCCAGAGUCCUGAAAAGUGUUCUUUCCUAUAUUGUGUCUGUUUUUUUGUUGUUGAUUCAGACAGACGGGUAACUCAGGUUCCUGUUAUCCCAUCUCAGCCACAGCAGAAAUAUUGACAUAUGUUUUGAAAGAGGUAGACUCAUACCAGGCUUCAUGUUUUGAAAUCUGACCACGAUGCCUGGAAAUUCAGUUUUUGCUCCUUUAAGGGUUAUAAGGUCAAAUCAACAAACCCGUGUUCUCGGCAAAGCUCUGUUCCUCACCUGUGACCAGGAGUGAGGCAGGAAGUUGCCUGCACUGAGUGUGAGAAGUGGCUCCGGCUCUGAUAACGGCGGUCCCAGAUGGUAAGAUGAGUUCCUUGCACGGGGCGCAGACCAGGAAUGGCCUGGGGAGCCCUCCGGAGUCCCAGCUGCUAUCACAGCAGAGGUGUCCCCAGGGGCUUUUAUUUCCAACAACACUUCGGUUUUCCUCUCACAUUUGUUCUUACAGGUGAGCUCCAAGAUCUCCAAAAUGCCUUUCCAACUCCAGGAAGAAUCCUCCUCCUAGGAUUGACAAGGGGUCACACUCUCUGCUUAUAGUUAGCCCAAAGCCUCCCCACCCUUCCCUGCCUCCUCCGCAGGGCUGCCCUGUCAUCCACACUCCAGGCGUUGCUGCCCAGCCCCUCCUCAGCCCUGCAUCGACCUAUGUCCUGAUCUGUCUCUCUCUCUUUUUUCUUUUCUUUUCUUUCUUUUUUUUUUUUUUUUUUUUGAGCUGAAGUCUCGCUCUGUUGCCCAAGCUGGAGUGCAGUGGCAUGAUCUCGGCUCACUGCAACCUCCACUUCCUGGGUUCAAGUGAUUCUCCUGCAUCAGCCUCCCGAGUAACUGGGAUUACAGGCGCCCACCACCACGCUUGGCUAAUUUUUGUAUUUUUAGUAGAGACGGGGUUUCCCCAUGUUGGCCAGGCUGGUCUUGAACUCCUGACCUCAGGUGAUCUGCCUGCCUCGGCCUCCCAGAGUGCUGGGAUUACAGGCGUGAGCCACCGCGCCUGGCUGCUCUGUCUCUUGAAUGGGACGAUGGCGUGCCUCAGACCUGCACACACCUGGCCCUGGCUGUGCCCACUGGGGACAGCCCUUCUCAGCGAGAGAUGCUUACCCUUUCACUCCAUGAAGAGUCCUUGCACUCUGAGCAGUGUGAAGCAGUCAGCAGCUCAAACCCAGGCAGAACAGUUUUCAGAGAUGGGAAAGUGAGUGGGAUUUGGGGGCAGAGGUCCUAGAAUCAAUGUCAUUAACUUAGUGGGUGGUGAGUUAAAAAGGCACCCCAUGGGCUUACCACGACUUCGUUUCAUAUAACCUGUGCAACAACCCUCAUCUGUGUUCUGGACAAGGGUGUCAGGGGAUGAAGGGCUAAAUAUCAGAGGCACACAGCUGGGAAGCAUCAGACCUGAGAUUCGGUCCUGGGCUGUCAACCAACCUCUCUAGGGUGGGACUUUGGGCCUCAGUUUCCCCAUCUCUAAAUGUAAGCCUGCCCUGGAGGGCAGCCGUAGAGGAUUCCCUGGGAUGGACCGGAGAUGGUGUGGCAUUUAUGUGGAAAUCUGUUUUGUGAGUUGCAGACCCCACAAAAACUAGUGACCACACCUGGGGAUGGGUUUGUACAUUCCUGCCUCCACUGGGGAUCAUCCAGGCCACUGAAGUGACCCAGUUCCACGAGGUCCAGCGGCAUUUCCUUCAACACAACAGCCUCCAAUCCUUGCUGCUUCCCACCGUGGGCAGCAGCCAGUUCUCUUCCUGCAUCCCCUGCCUCUUGCUACAACCUUGGCUUCUCCAGCAGUGUUAAUGACCUCCAUCAACGGGAGACUUGAGACUCACUGCCAUAGACAGAACCCAGACAAGAGGCUGGCAUGGAAGCUAGGACAGUCGUGGUCCUCAGGGAACAUGCCGGCAAGGGGAGCAAGUGGGCCCAAGGUGGGCUCCAUGGAUCACAGGGUGAGGGGCUGCGCAGGAGGCCUGGAGAGCCGCACUCGGGUGUGGGCAGGUCUGAGAGCUCAGGGGCCUUCCCCUGGUUCCCCUGUUCAUUCCCUCAUUCCCCAAAUCCUUGAUGAGCGACUGUCACGUGCUAGGCAAGAGAGGGGUCAGUAGGGAAGGGAGAAACCUCUGCCCCUGAGACCUUGCGUUGCAGAGGGUCAUGCAGACAGAACACAGGAGCGCAUAGGAAAUAAAAUGACUCUAGAACUGAGUGCCGUGAAGCAGGAAGGAGGGCAGUGGGGCGGGGAGGCAGGCAGGGAGCACACCAUGCAGCUGCAGUGGCCAGGAGAGGCCACUGACAGGGGACCCGAGUCCGAAUCCAAAUGGCGGGGAGGAGGCAGCUGCACACGGCUGUGGGAAAAGCCUUCCGGGCAGAGGGAGGAGCAAUGUGAAGAGUCAGGAGUGAGACCAAGAUGGUGAUGGGACAGAAGGAAGUUCUGUGGCCAGACGGGAGGGCCCAGGCAGAGGCAGGUGGGUCAGCAGGAGGGAGCAGAGACCUGAGGCUCAGGGUGGUUGGAGGCCCUGGGGGCUCUGUGAGCAGCGAGGUCGCAUGCUGUCGUUCACGGUUUUAAAAGUUCGCUGUGGCUGCAAGGUUACCAGGGGAGACGAGGCAGAGAGAGGGGCACCCUCACAUACCUGAUGCAACAGAGGGGACGGGUGCUUUGUUCUGACACUGUUUCCCAAACUCUUUUGUAAUGAAAAUGAAGUGAGUUGAACAUAUUAGUCUCAUAACUAGAGUGAACCUGUCUCAUGGCCACAGAAGAAACCUCGCUUUUACAUCUCUCCAGGUUCUGGACAGCGCAUCGAAAACCCUCUCUGAAGUUCCUGCUGCCGACCUAGACAGCCGGCCACACCCAAAGCCACCCACACACACGGCACCUGCUGUGGUCCCACCAUCCUUUCCCUGUGCUGUCCAGAACAGAAGGAAACAGCACACCCAGGAAAUCUUCCAAAUGAGCUUCAUUUAUAACUCACUGUGCUAAAAACUGGAAUUCUCUCCAGCUUCAAUUCGAGCAAUUGUGUAAUCACUUAACUACAGCAGUGAAAUCAAAUGAGAGAAAAUUCAAUAUUAGCUCUUAAGAGAGAUGGAAAUUGGGUUUCUGGAUCAAUAGGAGACACUCUUUAAAUCACAGUGACAAAAAUAUUCUACUUGCACUGUCUGGAAAUCAAAUAAGAUGUGACAAUUUAGUAAUAAGAUUCACACAUUAUAUAAUAUACAUUUAUAAAACACUGUCCUAAAAAUCAUCAUCUUAUUAAGUCUCCAUUUGAGAUAUUGUGUAAUCACUUACAUAAUAGGAAUAGAACUAAAAGAGAAAAAAAUCAAAUUUAGAAGUCAAAAUUCUGGCUAUGUUUCUGGGUUAUUUUAGUGAGUUUAUUAGCAAUAAUAAAGAUACCGUAAUUACGCUAGUUAUAAAUAGGAUAAAAUGUAAGUAACUCACAUAAGUUAAAGUUAUAGAACAUUAUCUCGGAAUUAGAAUAUGAGCAGUUUCCACUUUAGCCAUUGAAUAGUCACUUAAUAGCAAUAAAAUUAAAAAAGAAAAAAAAACAGCCGGGGGCGGUGGCUCACGCCUGUAAUCCCAGCACUUUGGGAGGCUGAGGCGGGCAGAUCACAAGGUCAGGAGAUCGAGACCAUCCUGGCUAACACCGUGAGACCCCCGUCUCUACAAAAAAAAAAUACAAAAAAAUCAGCUGGGCGUGGUGGCAGGUGCCUGUAGUCCCAGCUGCUCCGGAGACUGAGGCAGGAGAAUGGCGUGAACCCAGGAGGCGGAGCUUGCAGUGAGCCGAGAUCGGGCCACUGCACUCCAGCCUGGGCGACAGAGCGAGACUCCGUCUCAAAAACAACAAACAAACAAACAAACAAAAACAGGCUGGGUGCGGCAGUUGCUCCCUCCUAUAAUCCCAGCACUUUGGGAGGCUGAGAUGAGAGGAUCCCUUGAACCCAGGAGUUAGAGACCAGCCUGGGCAACACAGCCAGACCUCAUCUUUCCAAAAACAUUUUUAAAAAUUAGCUGUGUGUAGUGUUGCACACCUGUCGUCCCAGCUACUCAGGAGGCAGAGGUGGGAGGAUUGCUUGGGCUCAGGAAGUGGAAGGCUGCAGUGAGCCAUGAUUGUGCCACUGUGCUCCAACCUGGGAAGCAGAGCAAGACCCUAUCUCAAAAAAAAAAAGAAAAAAAAAUACAAGAGGAAAAAUAAGAAUUACUUUACAGAGAGCAACGCGUCUUGCCAUAGUUCUGGAUCUUAGAAGUGGGCACGCUGGAAGUGGGGUCACUGGAAGGUGACUCACCUCUGCUGAGACACAUUUCUCUGCUCCCCAGUGGAGGAGGUUCUGGGCCAGGGACAUCCUUUCGGGGAGAUACUCGUGGUGGGUGUCUUCCCCGUCUUCUGGAAUCGGGGGAAGGAUAGAGUCUUCUUCCCAAGAGCUGCCCCCCGGGGACUCUCAGGACGCUCUGAUAUCUGACAAGAGAGGAUGGAGCUGGGUCAGUGGCACCCCUUUCCUGCAGGACAGUUGGAUCAGAGCAGCCCAGGGCAACCCCCAAUCCCAUGGGAGGCGUUGGAUCAGGGCAGCCCAGAGACACCCCGGUCCUGUGGGAGGGUUGGGUCAGGGCAGCCUAGCUGAGGGGCAUGGGAGCUGAGGCUUGCCAUCUGGUGCAGGCUCUGAGUAGGGCUGGCGGGGGUCUGGUGGAGGCUCUUGUUCUUGGGCCUGAUCCUGGGAGGGGCUACACCUUAAACCCUGGGCCCUGACCACCCCACCCACUGGGGCCUGGUGCUCCUGCUCCUCUGGGUCCUAUCAUCCCCAUGGUUCUCUGCUGAAAGCCCCACAGCAGCAUCAGGGAUGUGAGGAUGCCUCAGGAGCCCCUCGAUCCUUCCUCCAUAAUGUAUCUCAGAGCGCAUUCUCUUUCUUAGGCUGUGCAGGUGUGUCUCAGCCAAAAGUGCCCUCAACUCAUUCGCAUGAGCUUUUCUCGCAGGGAAACUAAUCUGCCUUCCAUGAUGGCCAGGGAUUCUCUCUAGGGUUUCUGGAGGAUUUGGAUGGCAUGUUAUGCAUCCAGCUUUUCCCAGUGCGGUGAUCUUGCCAUGUGCCCUGGAGAGUCCCCUCUGUCCUCACAGGGCAGACGCUCUCCAUCAGUAUCUGCCAAACACUCUUUUCCU